AAAAAGGCCGGACACAGUGGGGGUGCUCUGGAGAGGCUGUGGCUGGCAUGGGCGUGGGGAGCCCGCACUCUGCUCCCAUUGCUACCCUCACAGCCUCUGCAGGGGCUUUGAGCAGCCAGCACCUUCACUCCAGCCUGUUUCCUGAUCUGGCGGGCACACAGUGCAAUGUGAAAGCAGGUGUGCGUGCACACCCACACCCGCAUGCCCACACAUCCAUACAGUCCACACCAUCACACACACACACCCACACACAUCCAUACAGUCCAUACCAUCACACACACCCGCACACAUCCAUACAGUCCACACCAUCACACACACACCCGCACACAUCCAUACAGUCCACACCAUAACACACACAUCUAUACAGUCCACACCGUCACACACACACAUCUAUACAGUCCACACCAUCACAUGCACACACAUCUAUAUGGUCUACACCGUCACACACACACACACAUCUAUACAGUCCACACCGUCACAUAUCUGUACAGUCCACACCGUCACACACACACGCCCACACCCGCAUGCCACACAUCCAUACAGUCCACAUUCACGUAUGCCCAUAUGCAUCCAUUCACACGUGUGUACACAUGCUCACACACACACAUUCAUAGACUCCACACAUGCACACGUGCACACACACGCACAUGCUCGCACACAUGCACAGAUACACUCACGUCCACACACGCUCAAACAUGCGUGCACACCCGGAGGUGCCCAGAGGGGCAGGGUGGGGAGGACCCCUGCAGCUGCCACACUCCCUGCUCUUGUGGGUAGUUGGGGGCCACUGGGUAUGUGUGUCCAUGCCCCGUCCCCCCGGCAGUGCCGUGCACUGCAGACCUGCCUGGGGCUCAGCACCUGCAGGGGCCUGAGGGCGGGGGAGGGAAUGCGGGGUCCCUGGACCCCUGCGGUCGGGGUGGUGAGGCUGCUCUUGCAGAGAGAAGUGGGGAGUGCCUGGCUGCAUCCGGGAGGGAUGGAGGGCUGGG
rnacentral:lncRNA from 1 species